rnacentral:rRNA from 1 species
CGGACGGGUGAGUAACGCGUGAGAAUCUAGCUUCAGGUUGGGGACAACAGUUGGAAACGACUGCUAAUACCGAAURUGCCGAGAGGUGAAAGAUUWAUUGCCUGAAGAAGAGCUCGCGUCUGAUUAGCUAGUUGGUGGGGUAAGAGCUUACCAAGGCGACGAUCGGUAGCUGGUCUGAGAGGACGAUCAGCCACACUGGGACUGAGACACGGCCCAGACUCCUACGGGAGGCAGCAGUGGGGAAUUUUCCGCAAUGGGCGAAAGCCUGACGGAGCAAUACCGCGUGAGGGAAGAAGGCUCUUGGGUUGUAAACCUCUUUUCUUAGGGAAGAAAAAAAUGACGGUACCUAAGGAAUMAGCAUCGGCUAACUCCGUGCCAGCAGCCGCGGUAAUACGGAGGAUGCAAGCGUUAUCCGGAAUGAUUGGGCGUAAAGCGUCCGCAGGUGGYHWAUCAAGUUUGCGGUUAAAGGUUCUGGCUCAACCAGAGACAGGCCGUGAAAACUGAUWRRCUAGAGUAUGGUAGGGGCAGAGGGAAUUCCCAGUGUAGCGGUGAAAUGCGUAGAGAUUGGGAAGAACACCGGUGGCGAAAGCGCUCUGCUAGGCCAAAACUGACACUGAGGGACGAAAGCUAGGGGAGCGAAUGGGAUUAGAUACCCCAGUAGUC